UGUCCUCAGUCCCGGGUCGUCUCGGCGCGGUUCCGAGCGGUCGCUCCCUCGCGAGGUGCCGCGGGUCAGCGGCUGACGCCAGCCACCUUCCCGACCCGUCUUGAAACACGGACCAAGGAGUCUAACAUGUGCGCGAGCCGCGGGGCAGUACGAAACCCGUAAGGCGAAAUGAAGGUGAACGCCGGCGCGGUCCGGCGGAGGUUGGAUCCAGUCCCGUCGGGGCGGGCGCACUACCGGCCGAUCUUCUCCGCCCUGUCGGCGAGGUCGAGCGAGAGCGUGCAAGUCGGGACCCGAAAGAUGGUGAACUAUGCCUGAGGAGGUUGAAGCCAGAGGAAACUCUGGUGGAGGACCGUAGCGAUUCUGACGUGCAAAUCGAUCGUCAAAUUUGGGUAUAGGGGCGAAAGACUAAUCGAACCGUCUAGUAGCUGGUUCCCUUCGAAGUUUCCCUCAGGAUAGCUGGCGCUCUGUCGCAGUUUUAUCUGGUAAAGCGAAUGAUUAGAGGUCUCUUGGGGGCGAAACGCCCUCAACCUAUUCUCAAACUUUAAAUUGGUAAGAAGCCCGACUCGCUCGUUUGGAG
rfam:Ciona savignyi cont_49847, whole genome shotgun sequence.